rnacentral:rRNA from 1 species
UACGGAGGGAGCUAGCGUUGUUCGGAAUUACUGGGCGUAAAGCGCACGUAGGCGGCUUUGUAAGUUAGAGGUGAAAGCCCGGGGCUCAACCCCGGAAUUGCCUUUAAGACUGCAUCGCUUGAAUCCGGGAGAGGUGAGUGGAAUUCCGAGUGUAGAGGUGAAAUUCGUAGAUAUUCGGAAGAACACCAGUGGCGAAGGCGGCCCGCUGGACAUGUAUCGACGCUGAGGUGCGAAAGCGUGGGGAGCAAACAGG